rnacentral:rRNA from 1 species
UACAGAGGUCCCAAGCGUUGUCCGGAAUUAUUGGGCGUAGAGAGCUCGUAGGCGGUUUGUCGCGUCGGCUGUGAAAACCUGGGGCUCAACCCCGGGCCUGCAGUCGAUACGGGCAGACUAGAGUGCGGUAGGGGAGACUGGAAUUCCUGGCGUAGCGGUGAAAUGCGCAGAUAUCAGGAGGAACACCGGUGGCGAAGGCGGGUCUCUGGGCCGUAACUGACGCUGAGGAGCGAAAGCGUGGGGAGCGAACAGG